CUGUGUACACAGCAGUCCUCAAAAGGCAAACCAACAGCGAGCGGAUGUUCAAGCUAAUUUCUUUAUCGAGACAUAUUUGCUUGUUGCUUUAAGAGAGAAGAGUUCCCCUAUUAGUAGGAAGAUCAUAUGUCUUGUUAUUGAUAGAUUGCAACGUUUUUAUUUUUCGUAUCUCUCACUUGGGUUUCUGCCCAAUAACCUCUUGCAAUCGCAUUUUUUUUUUAUGUUUGAAAAUUUCUUCUCCCUUCUUUGAUUUUGGCGGGUUUCUUUGAUAUCUUGCAGCGGCCGAUUUGUGUCGUCUGCUCUCGUUAUGUUUCACAGUUUCGAAAAAGCAAAAAGAAACGUAGGUUCAGAUACUUUUUAUUAUAGAAAACUGAACAACGGAUUGGAUAGGCUACAUGGCUGCAACUUGCAAGAGAUAUAGAAGAACAAAAUAAAAUAUGAUCGUCGUGUGAACUUUGUUGUAUAGUGAUUCCUCAUGCUCUCCAUUCCAUGAGGUCAGGUACUAAAUGAAACUAAGAUACAAAUGGAAUGAUAUCAGGAGCUUUAUACAGAAGAGCAGGAGCCUGUUCCAAAUUUGUGAAAUGUUGGUGCCCGAGCCCGACUACAGUGACUAGCAUUUAUCAUAUUUCAGGUCUGGAGCCAGCCAUCGUAACCACAAGAUGUACAAGUUUUGAUACUGACAUGACAUCAUCCAACAAUCUCAACAUCAUCAAUUGGAUAAACAGCAUUCCGUUUAAUUGGAGAAACUUCCAGUGUCGACCGAGUAACAGAUCUCUCUUUUCCCCCUUUCUUUAAAUGUCCUCGUGUACGCCCAUGUGAAUGUGGGUGUAUUCACGAGGACUCCCUUUUACCUAUCCUUGCUGGUCGUGGAUUCAACUUUGCUGUGGAUGGAGCCUUUCGGAUGCCUGGCUGUGGAUUUCCCAGGCAUAAAGGAACGAAAACCGAGCCACGGUCACUACUGUAGAGUACCUGACCCGGAAUAAAGGUGCUAGCGCCCGACGGACUCAGCAAAAUCUUGCCCGGCACGAAUCGAGGACCAGUUUUACUACCAAAUACUUGUCCAGGUUGGCCUUGGAAGAUUUUUGAUGAGAUGGGAGGAGGUUUGAAUGGCAUUACCAUAGCCGCAUACCCGGAAUGAUUCCUGCCUGCCUGGCUGGCCUGGCCUGCCCACCUUCAUCAUUCGCAAGCCAACAGACGCAGGAAGGAAGGAGAAAAAGAUCUGAUUUAUUUGAUUUUCUAUUUUCCGCGCGCGCGUCCGUCCUGCUGCUGGCAAUAGCGGACACGGCGAGUCAUUUUCGUUGCCGUUCGACGGGCUUUCAAUGAAGCGAACAAGAAAAGCUGAAAUGAGAGAGAACGCCGGACUCGAUUGCUGUUGACGAUGUGAGGCGAGACAAGACCAUAGCAAAAAUAACGAAAGAAAAUAAGGAAAAAGGCGAAACAAAACAAAUCAAGAGAAUUCAAAAUGGACGUGGCAGCGUCCGUCCCGCAUUGGCGCGAAAAUUCCAAACUACCACCGACGUUCGCGGCGCCCGGCAUAAACCAUACAAGAUUUAGAGGUGACUCACCGUCCAAACAUUCGCCCGAAGAGAGCAUAGCAGUAGAGUAAAAGUGUUAGUCCGUGACAUGCGGCGCGAUGAGCAAAACCUCUUUCAACAGCAACAACUAGACCAUUGAGUCUUUGCUUGUCUUUUUAUACACUGAUGUCUGUAUUUUCUCGAGUCGUGCGCAGCAUCAUCAACAACAGCAACAGCAUCGGAUGAAUCAACAUUUUUCGCUUAAACGACCGGCGCGCAAGACGCAGAGGUAUUAGAGUGCGCUGCUGAUGACGGACGCCUGUAUCCAUAUUUGGCGGUGUUGAUAUGGAGAGCUUUUGCGGAUGAAUAGAAUAAGAUAUACUUGCUUGGAUAUAUACUACCUGCCUCAUGUAUAGAAAUAGAGCGCGCGCGCGCGGUCGUCGAGACGACUGCUGCUGGGCCGGGCCCCACAUCAUGCCUGCGCGAUGACGUAAAAAGAUGUGUCGUGAUCUGGUUAUUGGGAUCCUGCCACCGGCUGUUGGGGCCAAAGUACUUUUCUGCAUGCGUCGCCCCUCAUAUUCUAUACUGUUUCUUCCUGCUGUUGAUUAUAUGUAUUGAUUGAUUUAUUUAUGAUGAUUUGACCAUCGCGCACCACCAUCAUCUUUUUGCACCGGCAAAUGACCAGCGCCUGAUGUUUCUUUCUCUGCCGAGUUCUUUUUUUCUUUUUUUCUUUGUUGUUUCUUCGCUUGUUUUUUGCGAUGACUAAAUUUCUCUCUGCAUUCCACUUUGAUUUGUUUUGCUGCUUCUGCUGUUUCGUUUUCAUCUGCGCUUUCUUUUUGGCAGUGUGGAAUGCAGCAUACGUAUAGUAUAGAGAAAAGAAAAAAGUAGAACUUGCGGCCGUCAUUCCAUCCAUUCCUUUAGCGACCAAGAAGAAGCACGAGGUGCGUAUUCAAAUGUUUCUCUCAUUGGAAUUCCCAUACAAUUUUUUCUUGUUCUUCUCCCCUUUCCUGUUGUUCCUUUUUGCAAUUGCUACCGUUGGCUUGCUAUUCUCUAUCCCCUGUUCAAUGGCAAGUCCAUCGCCAUGCAGAUCCAUUUUCAGACAGCAAGACGACAAUCAAGUAUAGACCCAAUUCGUUUAAUUGAUUAUAACGAGGAGCUAUAGUACAGAUAUUAUAGACACGCCCCUCGUUCGCCGUAUAGCAUUCCAUUGCCAUUCUAACCAUUUAAACGUUUUUUUUAAUUAAAUCCAACAUUUUGGCGCCAGAGAGGGGGAAGAAGGAGAGAUGGAUGAUGCCGGAAUUCAAGAUGGCCAUCGAUUCUUCCGACUUUUGGCGGUUUGUUUCUUUUUAAAUUUGCAAAAAAGCCAAUGAAACGGGAGGAGAAGAAAGGGCAAAACGUUGCGCUCGUUCAUCACAAUGACAUCAAAAGAGUUUGGCCUGCUGAUGUUGUGUCUUAUGUGCUGUUCUCUAUGCGGCGGCCGCUGCAUUAUCCAAUCCGCGCAACUGUCGCGGAUAUGAACCGUUGCACUGGAUGGACGAGGACGACGAAUGCCAUUCCAACCGUUGGCGACGGCGGCAGUUCGCAAAAGAGUGCACCGUGCUGUAGAUACUAGCAGGACAUUUGUUUACAAAACACGGAUGGCGGCGACAAUGAAUUGUUAGAAAUAAAGAAAAAAAAGUUAGACAAAUUUGAUCAAACAACGACCAUUUAAGUUGAAUUCAAAGUCUCAUUUUCUGCUCUGUUGUCAGGCUAUUUUUGCCAGCUCCCGAUGUUUUUUUCCUCUGUUUUUGCCUGAACCGAAAUUCCUACAUAAUCCACUGUCCACCAGGUGUAAUAAUAAUAAUAAUAAAGGGAACCUGCCUGCCGCUGCCAGAUGAAAAAUCGUCCAAUCCGCCAACGACUCACGAUGGCGUCUCCGACUCGCCGUCCAGACGAGGCUCGGAUCAUUUAUCCCGCAGCGGAGGCGAUUCUGGCCCUUCUCAACAAGAGAACUCGUCCCUUAAGGAUCGUUGACUCAAUUUGGAAAAGGGAUUCUUCUUUUUCAUUUUGUGCUGACGGUUGUCACAAACCAUUUCUUUUCUAGUUGAUAUAUUCGACUUGGUUGUCGUUCAAACUAGCCAGCCGUUGUCAUAAACUCCGUUUUGUUGCUAUAGUGGGCUCACUGCAGGCUUCUGUGUGUUUACAAGCUAUGCAGCCGAGAUGGGCGGGUGAACAACAAAACAAAACAAAACAAAAAAACAAAUACAAACAUCUGGACGAAUAAUAUGAAUGAGGAUUGAGGAGAUAUCAAGUUGGCAAGCCACGGACACGCAUUCUUCAGUCAGUCAGUCAGACAGUUGGGUUGAUUUUUAGUUCCUUACGUUAAGGGGUGGGCCAUGCAGCUCGGCUAUACAGGAGAAAGACACUCUACCCAGCAGCAUUGGAAAAUAAAAAAAAGGUGAAAGGGAUGUGGAUAUAAGAAGAAGGAUAAACGCUAUACUCGCGUGGGUAUAUCUGGGCCGCUUUCCUGCUGCAAGUUUGAUCCUAAGGAUUUGUCCACGUUGCCAAGACAUUUCAUCCGAGCAAAGAUAGAGAGAGAGGCAACCUCUGCAUACUGCUGCACAAACUGAUCCCCUGUUCUAUCAGCUCCUGUCCGAUACAACGGAUUUUCCAUCCCCUACUACAUAUGAUAUAGCUGGCCAUCGGAUGCAUGACACGUCUAAUGCGACUGAUGGAUCAUACGCCAAUCACGUGAAAAAAAGGCUAAGAAACCUGCUAUGACGGGUCUUGGCCAACACGUCGGUGGUACAGUGACACUAUACAUGAUUGCACAUUGGAAUUUUUAGGCAAUACCUUCAAUAGCAUCCCUUGUUGGACAAUAUCUAUAAUUAUACAAGGACGCGAUACACACACACACACACAUACACAUACGCACACACACUGCAGGCACUGCUGUGAGGAGGAGGUGACGGGCAGCAGAUUAGAUUUUCUGGCGAUAGUUUUGGCGUGUGCAAAGUGGGCGGUCAAUUAAGACAGGAAACGUCAAUCAUUCAAACACCCACUUCAUCAUUUGUUGCUGUCGUCAAUCACUUGAGUCGUCGUCGUCCUUGAAUGCAGAUGAUGACUAUACGCAUUGGACAACUUAUUCCUACUAUCGAUCGAUAUAGUUCGCUAACUUGCGCAACUUUUGGAUGAAACUGUAGUAGCUACUUAAUAUUCAAAGAAAUUUAUUUUUCAAAUUCCAGUUAAAGAGCCCUAUUUACGUUCGUCGGUGGUGACAAUCAGAUAAGAAGGAUGUGAUAGACGUCCGAAGGCUCACUGGAGACGGUGACAUUGCUGAAGGUUAUUCUGCUGCGAUUUGUUUUCCAUUUGGGGAAGUAAUAUUAUGAUACAUAUAUGAGGAAAAGCGGAAACGAUGUGAAAUACUGUUGGGCAGGAAAUAACUUCCAAUCAUGGUUGACGCAAUCUCUAGUACCUCCAAAAAGGGCACUGAAAUAUGUUCUUCUUCUCAACACAUUUGAACACGUUUUUUCCCCUUCAGGUCUAUAAUAGGUAACAACAAGGAACCGAUGACGCAAUGGAAAAGAAUAGCGUGAUCAUAGGAGGUGAUGAAGUAAGACGGUAGAGCGCUAGGUGGCAGUAGGUAGGGCUCCAUUGUUCACCCAUUUAUUUAUUCUUCGCAGUUCCGUGAAGUUAUAUUCUAUCUAGACGAACAGCUCGAAAGUCACAUCACUGAGAUAUAGCGAUAUCGAUAUUCGUUUAAAUGUACAGUUUAAUACCUUUCUUCAGUAUCGUCGUCAAUUGUGCGCAUAACGGUGGAUACCGGUACUCGUGUUAUAAUUUCUAACACAAUUGUUGUAAGAUGACAUGAGAUUAAAAAUAAUAAAAAA
rnacentral:lncRNA from 1 species